CUGGUGACCUUUAGUUCGUAGAGUGCCCUGCGCAGUCAGGGAGGAAACGUGCGGAUGUAGUAGGUCCCGCAAAUAUUAGGUGUGGUUUUGAACACUCAUCCGUAGGCACUUGAGACUUUGCAGAACGAUAGUCACCGCCUGAACUGAUCGGUAGCAUCAGAGAUCUUCCCAUUCUUAUCUGGCGUUGUCUGCCAGGAAGAAGACUUGACGUGUAUGAAUUCCUACUGAUCCGGCAUAGUCGCUUCCCAUCUGUGCAGGAAGACAUCAAGAUCACUAUCGCCUGGCGCAAUGGCGUUGUCUGCCAGGAAGGACGAUGCAUAGGAACUCAUAUUGGUUCGACAAUGUCGCGUCCAUCUACGCAGGAAGCCAUCAGGGUCACUUACGUCUGACUAAUGGUGUUCUCUGCCAGGAAGGAAACUUAACGUCUAUGAAUUUACAAUGGUUCGGCAAACAGUACAGGAAGACAUCAGGAUGACUGGCUGGUGCAAAGGAGCCAGAUAGCCUGGCGUCGCCACUAUCAACAAGGUGGUACCAUCAUUACAUAUGUCGGACGUCGUAUGCUGGGCAGACUGGUAAAUCAGGACAAGUGGCAAACUGUGGCAGAACUGACAUCAGACUUUAAUGGUAGUCAGAGUACACCUGUGUCUGAACACACAGUGCACUGAAAACUUCUGACGACCCAUGCAUGUGCCUGCCAGAAGAACAUAAAGAUGUAAUUUUCCUAUCUGAAUUAAUAAAUAUACAUUAAGUGGACUA